UCCGAGCCGGGGCCGGAGAGACAGUGCGCGCCCAGGCGCUCAGCCCGCAGCAGCCUCCGGAGGGGGGGCGCGGGGGGGGCUGCUCUUGCCUGGAUUUACAGGGCUGGAGGACGCCGCCUGCCAGGUUUGUUUUCUCGGACGCGUUCAGCACAUGGGAGCUAAGCAAUCGCGCACUGUGCUUGUAUUUUUAAAGAAGUUUUCCUUAAAACGAAUUGUUGGACGCACGGAGGUUUAGCUUAGCAAUUUCUAACCCAGCCUUUUACUACAGCAAGAGGCCAGUGUCUCUAGCAAAGCAUUCCUGCCAUUUCCUAUGGAUUACAUUUGGUCUGUAACGGAGAGAGCUGCACGUUUGUUUGUUUGGGGUUUUUUGGUUUUUGUUUUGUUACAGUCUAGAAAACCCGAAAUUUGUAUUCACACGCAGAUAAUAGAAGCUCUUCGAGAUAUGCCCAGGUUAAAAGGAGGAAAUUGUGUAAGCUUUGAGCGCAGGCUUUAUAAUAAUAAUAAUUAUUGCUUGUAAGAAUCCUUUCAAUAAAGAAUUGGAAUGUGCUUUUUCUCUCUAAUAAAUAUGUCACUUUACCAAAAGGA